rnacentral:rRNA from 1 species
AUUGAACGCUGGCGGCAGGCUUAACACAUGCAAGUCGAGCGGAGAGAGGUAGCUUGCUACUGAUCUUAGCGGCGGACGGGUGAGUAAUGCUUAGGAAUCUGCCUAUAGUGGGGGACAACAUUUCGAAAGGAAUGCUAAUACCGCAUACGUCCUACGGGAGAAAGCAGGGGAUCUUCGGACCUUGCGCUAAUAGAUGAGCCUAAGUCGGAUAAGCUAGUUGGUGGGGUAAAGGCCUACCAAGGCGACGAUCUGUAGCGGGUCUGAGAGGAUGAUCCGCCACACUGGGACUGAGACACGGCCCAGACUCCUACGGGAGGCAGCAGUGGGGAAUAUUGGACAAUGGGGGGAACCCUGAUCCAGCCAUGCCGCGUGUGUGAAGAAGGCCUUAUGGUUGUAAAGCACUUUAAGCGAGGAGGAGGCUCUUUUGGUUAAUACCCAGAAUGAGUGGACGUUACUCGCAGAAUAAGCACCGGCUAACUCUGUGCCAGCCGCCGCGGUAAGAC